GGUGAACGCUGGCGGCGUGCCUAAUACAUGCAAGUCGAGCGAACGGACGAGAAGCUUGCUUCUCUGAUGUUAGCGGCGGACGGGUGAGUAACACGUGGAUAACCUACCUAUAAGACUGGGAUAACUUCGGAAAACCGGAGCUAAUACCGGAUAAUAUUUUGAACCGCAUGGUUCAAAAGUGAAAGACGGUCUUGCUGUCACUUAUAGAUGGAUCCGCGCUGCAUUAGCUAGUUGGUAAGGUAACGGCUUACCAAGGCAACGAUGCAUAGCCGACCUGAGAGGGUGAUCGGCCACACUGGAACUGAGACACGGUCCAGACUCCUACGGGAGGCAGCAGUAGGGAAUCUUCCGCAAUGGGCGAAAGCCUGACGGAGCAACGCCGCGUGAGUGAUGAAGGCCUUCGGAUCGUAAAACUCUGUUAUUAGGGAAGAACAUAUGUGUAAGUAACUGUGCACAUCUUGACGGUACCUAAUCAGAAAGCCACGGCUAACUACGUG
rnacentral:rRNA from 1 species